CGUAGGUGGCAAGCGUUGUCCGGAAUUAUUGGGCGUAAAGCGCGCGCAGGUGGGAUAUUAAGUCUGGUGUUAAAGUUCGGGGCUCAACCCCGUGAAGCAUUUGGAAACUGAUAUUCUUGAGUGCAGGAGAGGAAAGUGGAAUUCCUAGUGUAGCGGUGAAAUGCGUAGAUAUUAGGAGGAGCACCAGUGGCGAAGGCGACUUUCUGGACUGUGUCUGACACUGAGGCGCGAAAGCUAGGGUAGUGAACAGGAUUAGAUACCCUGGUAAUCCUAGCUGUAAACGAUGGGUACUAGGUGUUGGGGGUAUCGACCCCUCCAGUGCCGGAGUUAACGCAAUAAGUACCCCGCCUGGGGAGUACGGCCGCAAGGUUG
rnacentral:rRNA from 1 species